rnacentral:rRNA from 1 species
AGAGACAGCAGUCGCCGCGGGAAUACGUAGGUCCCGAGCGUUGUCCGGAUUUAUUGGGCGUAAAGCGAGCGCAGGCGGUUAGAUAAGUCUGAAGUUAAAGGCUGUGGCUUAACCAUAGUACGCUUUGGAAACUGUUUAACUUGAGUGCAAGAGGGGAGAGUGGAAUUCCAUGUGUAGCGGUGAAAUGCGUAGAUAUAUGGAGGAGCACCGGUGGCGAAAGCGGCUCUCUGGUCUGUCACUGACGCUGAGGCUCGAAAGCGUGGGUAGCGAACAGGAUUAGAGACCCCCGUAGUCCCUGUCUCUUAUACC